rnacentral:lncRNA from 1 species
AUGAAAGAAGACGUCCAGAACUGCUUAGAAAGUGACAAGAAUGAUGGGAUAAAGAAAAAUGCACCCAGAUCCACGGAUGACUGGCUACCGUUCCCAGUGGGAGGUGGAAGCUGCAGUAACCUUGUGGGUGCAGUGCUUGGAGCCUUCACCGCUAUGUGCUAUUUCUACGCCACACUGCCCUGGUUGGUGAACAUCAGAGUGGAGUCUCUUGUACCAGGACUGCCACCUGUUAGAGGUAAUGAGGAACACGCAGCUCACGCCCCAGUCUACCUCUCUCUGUGUGAUGGAAAUCACAGCUUUAAAAACUCAAUACUGCAAGGAAUUCAGCUGGCACUUUUUCACGUAUGAGAUUAUUUUUGGAGAGAGCCAGCCCAUAUAUUCACUUUUUUUUUUUAAAGCAAGCUAUUAGCCUGCUUUAAAAAGAAGAAAAAUGUUGAAAUUAAAAGAGAAAUGCCUGAGAGCUUUCAGCCUAACACCCUUAUUUUCGGUUAGAUCAACUAGGACUCUACAACUAAUGAAUGAUGGAAGGGUUCAAUGGGUCUUGAUGAUCUUGUGGAAGUGGUAUAUAUAAGAUAUUAAUUGACCUGGCCUUAGUGGAAUCUUACUCUUAUAUUUAAAAAAAAAAAAAAAGAAAGAAAGCAACUUUGGGAGAUACUUAUCUGCUAUUCCCAUGCCCUGAAAAACAAAGCCAUUGGUUCACCGGAACUCUUAAAUGCCUAGGCCUGGCUCCCUGAUGAUCAGUAUUCAGUGGCUAUCAGUAGCUGUCCAGUGCAAAGGACAAUUUUAUUUUCAAAGACAGACUGUGAUGGGCUAGCUGGGCAAUGUGUGAACUGAAAUCUGUUAUUCUUGUCUUAGAUCACGAGUUGGAAAAUGGCCUCUGGGCCCAAUGAGGCCUGGUGUUUGCUUUAUAAGUAAAGUUUCCUUGGGACGCAGUCAUGUCCAUUCACUUGUGUCUUGUCUAAGGUGGUUUACACACUGCAAUGGUAGAGUUGAGCAACUGUGAAGGAUCAUACGGCUACAAAGCCAAAAAUCAUUUUGGACAUACUCUCCGGACCUUUACAGACCAAGUUUGCCAGGGAAAACACACAACAGACAAUACUCCUGAAGUCAACACUUUUAUUUUUUUAAGAUGGGAUCUCAUUAAUUUCCCCAGGCUGGCCAUAACCUUGUGAUCUUCUGGCCUCAAACUCACAAGUGCCUGAGAUUGCAGGCAUGCACCACCUCCAUCCCCAGCUUUUUCCAGGUGAUGAUUUUUCCUGAGUCUUGGACUACUGACUGUGGCCUAUUUACCUGGUCUGCUACUUAGAAGAACACAGACUGGCAGAUUAAACAUACUCAUCCUUAAAACUGAACUAAGGAAACAGAUUGCAGCUGACAAUUAGACAGAUGCACAUGGUAAUAAUGCAUACUUCAAUGGAAUGGCUAGAAGCAUAUGAAGUUCACAUUGCUGCCAGGAUAUAAAUUCUUAGCUAACAGAGCAACACAUCCACAAUGAGGGCCUGGAAAAAAAGGGAAGGUUCCAUGUGUGGUGCUGAAGCUGCUAGUCUUGUGGCUCCUUUCAAAACUUAGCCUGUUUUAGGCAGGUAGGUGGCAAUACAACUGUAAUCCCAGUUACCCAGGAGGCUGAGGCAGGGGACUGCAAGUUUAGGUCCUAUCUGGACAAUAUAAUGAGACCUUCUAUAAAAAUAAAAAAUAAAAGAGGCUGGGGAUGUGGCUCAGUGGUAGAGUACCUCUGGGUUUCACCCCCUGUAACAGUCCCCACCCCCACUUUGGGGUUAGUUCCUUCUUGCUUCUGAUCCACUCACUAUACAGAGCCCCUAACAGGCAUGCCUCCCCUAGCACACACCUUGGGCCUGUCACUGAUAUUUUAUUGCUGUUGUUGCUGACAUUUUUUCUGGUGAUGAUUUCACCGUUCCACUGUCAACUCCAUCCACAGUGUCCAGAACAUAAAUGUACUGUGUUUUGGUUUUCUACACUAUUUUGUCUCACAAUGAUAGGCCUUUUAAAGUGAAGGUCAUUCAAUACUGGCUUAAUAGUCAAGCUAUGCAGUAGAUAUUUCAUACCAUUAUUACCUCAGGUUACUGAUUCCAACAAGAGUUAAAAUGAAAUUUUUAAAAAAUCAGCUAAAAAAGAAUCCUGAUUCUAUCUCCUCCUCCUGGCCCACAUAUCUUACUAAUAUAGUUUACUUAUUAAAUGAAGUCAUUCCUAGAAAUCACUGAUAUCCUCUUGGUUAAAAGCAAGAUCAAGAUCAGAAUGAAGGUGUUGGAGUGGAGCAUGAUGUUGCACCUCUGUAAUCCCAGCACUCCGGAGGCUGAGGCAGGAGAAUCUUUGUGAGUUUGAGACCAACCUGGGCUAUAAAGUAAGCUCAAGGCCAGCCUGAAAUGCAUAGCAAGAUCUAGUCCCAAAAAGACAAAAAAAAAAAAAAAAGAAAAAGAAAAAGAAAAAAAACAAUGGAGGGGUUAGAGGGUUAUCUAGACCUAUUCUGACAUUGUGACUCCACAGUGACAGUUCUUAGGCACAAUGCAACAUUCUUUCCCCCCACAGCAACUGUAAGCCACCUUGCUAGUAAAACCUCUGGGCAUUUGCCUGGCCAAAAGCAUGCUUAAGGAACUCAAAUUUCAUUCUGGUUCAACUGCCUGGAUUCUCUUGCUGGACUAAACUAGAUCCAGAGGUCAGCAAAACACUGGCAGGUGGGCUGAAUCUGGUCUGCCACCUGUUUUUGCAAAUAAAGUUUUAUUGGGACAACAACCUUGCCUAUUUCUUAUGUGUUGUCUAUGUAGGUUUGAUGGCUUCUCUCUACAAUGGCAGAGCUAAAGACCAGUGAAAAAGGUUGUAUGGCAGCUGUAUGGAGCUAAAAAUAACUUGCCAACUUCUACACAAGAUAAUAAAUCUAAUGACCACUUGCUGAGCACACAGUGGUCCACAUCAGUCAAGGUGGGA